UCAUACUUAGAAAUAAUGUUGUGGGCCAUAAAGAUUUUAAUUGGACCAAAUGAGUUAUUCAUACCAACUUCAUGGACAAAGUAGGAAAAUGAUCAAAUCUAAUUCCACGCACCUCAGAACAGACCUGUACUUCAUAUACUCAUUUUUGAUUUCUUAGGGAAAAUCAGUCUUGCUAACAGUGGAGAGUAAGAUGGGACUGAUUUUGCCAAGCUGCGGUUACAUCAACAUCUGGGAAGCGUCCCGAUGACAGACCGCAGAAUGGCUCCUGCCCAUCUGGACAUGUUCUCCUCAGCCUUAGGGAAGAAGGCAAAGAUGCCCGCUCACCUUUGGGUUAUCUGGGUGCUCGAGUUUCACCAUGGCCUCUGGCCUGAAGAUCUGGCUAAAGCUGGCUGCUCUGUACCCAGCCUCAUGGCCAAACUCUACUAUGCUAGUUCCAUUUAUUAUUUCUGCCUGGCAGGAGAAAACAGGUCCAGUUCCCACGGCCAGCUUCUGGUGUGCCUUUCUCUGACACACAUAUUCCCCUGAUCAUUACCUUGGAUAUCAUGAAAAAGAUGAGACUUUGACACAUUCCUUCGAGGCUGUAUCUUAUAAAAAGACACAUUAAGAUAACGUGUCUAAUUUCAAAUACAAGGGCUCUGUGUACUGUUUCUUAUGUUGGAUCCUCCCUUCUCUGAAAAAAACAAUAGCAAAUUCUCAGGAAUCUUAAAGAUGUAACAUUAUGUUCAGAAUAACCCAAUUUUUUAUUUAUCAGGAAGCAGAAUCAGGAGGAGAGAGAGUUCAAGAAAAAAAAAUGUGAGAUUUAGAGAAGCAGACUCUACCUAUUCUUUCAGUUUCAGUCAUCUUAUCUGGCCUCCACAGAACCUGAGUCAUCUCUUUCAGAAACUUUUUCUCCACAGCACAUGGAGAGGGACAGAAGUAUGGCCACUUCGGAGGAUCUGAAAUUAUUUUGGCAAAAUCUAAGGACUGAGCCAUUUUGGGGAAAAGAUGCCAUUCAUCAUUUAGAAAAAACUCCCCUGAUGUGAAAAGACAGAAUAUUGAGGGGGAAGGAAGCCAACAGGAUGCAGAGAAUACAAAGACAGAGGGAGAAACAAUAGCAACCAGAGACAGAGAAAUCGAGCACUUCUGGAGCAAUAAGGACCGUGUGUGGUGAAGACGGCAUUCCUAGACCUUGACCAAAGCAUCGCUUUGUUAAGAGUCUGUCCUGCCCUGACCUGUCAUGGUUCAAGGGUUUGCAGAAGGGUGAACCACGAGAGAUCCUUCCAGUCAGCCUGGGGGAGGAGGGCCACAGGGCCCGUCUCGGCAGUGCGGUACCACAGCCACAAACACCAAGCCACGGCGUCACAUCUACUUGACACCCCUGAGACGUCCCGGCCAGCAAGGUGCUUCUCCUCUGUCCCCACAGCAGACCCUCCCAGCCUGCAGAGCUGUCCUUUGGCUUCAGAUACCAAACAAUGGAGUCUGAAUUACUUUCCAGCAUUUAAACAUAGUUCAUAAAAAAGCUGUAUUUCCAGAUUCUCCUGAAACUGAAGCCUCUAGAAACAGUGGGCUCUGUCGGGGGAAGAGGUGGGCAGACGGAGAGGCGACUGCUCUCUGAGGGGGCCUUGGCCCUCCGCACUUGUCACAGCACUGCUGGACGCCGAGGUCCCGUGCCUCUGUCACACCCUCAGUCCGACCCAACACUUCAUUUCGUUCCAAAGUGUCUUUAAAAUGGCAAAGUGGGGCCCGUGCACGGGACGGGAAACAUCACAGAUGAUGUGACUCAGAAAUGAUUUAAACAAAUUCACGCUGCAUAUGCAAGGGGUUGAGGACGCCAUCUGAGAGAAGGGGAGGUCUGAACAGUGUGAUCCGCUCUGCCGAACUUCAUGGUCCACAGACACCAGGGCCAGAGCGGGGCUCUCAGACCAACUGCCCUUCGGAAAUGGUUAUCUUAGCCCCAAUCAGGAGAUGGAAAGGCGCCACUGCUGCACUGACGGACAGGACAGGACAGGACAGGACAGGGAGCUGUGACUGUCCCUUCUCUCCUCAGUGCCCUCCCAGCCCUCCGGUCGGUCGUCCCGGCCGUAAGCACUCCCAUCCCGGCAUGUCCACACCUGUGCAGCAGUGCCCAAUCCUGGGUGUGCCUGCCUUUAGCCCUGCCAGAGGAGACACAGUCUAAACCAGGGCUGCGUUCUCGGUGCUCAACCUACCACCAAAGUGGAUGUGUGAGACCACGUGACUGAAAGACAUGGCCUGGACAAAGACAGGCAGUGCAGGCCCACCUCAGGCCACAACAGUAUUCCACCCAUCAGAUCUGAGGUUUACGGACCAAGCCUCAUCACACGCAGGGUUAUGUUCCCCUCCCUUCUUCCCCUCCAUAGUUUGUGUAUUACUUAACGAAGGAAAAACGUAAGGGGAACUCAGAAUGCACUAUCCGAAUAAAAUGCAGAUGUUUUUCCCAAUAAAUCAUCCAUCAUGGCUUUUUGCCUUAUGAAUUCAUCUAUUCUAAACUCACGGUUUUAAAUACAUCGCAGUUCCUUGCAAAAGCCAGAAAGCCUGGCUGAAUCCAGCACCUUGCGCCAGCUCCCGGGAAGGGGAGGAG